AUUCCAAGAACAGUAACAUCUACAAGGUUUCUUUGCCCUUGUCUAAAUACAACAGGCCUAAGCUUGUUGCUGGUUCAGCUAAAGGUUGGAGCGGUCAUGUUGAUGGCAAACCACGUGAAGCAAGGAUGAACCAUCCAACAGGGCUCACAGUCGAUAGCAAGGGUAGCGUGUAUUCUAAUGUUCAAGCUUCAGCAAGAUGAUUUCCCAGUGGAUACUCAUGUGUGCUCUUUUAACUAAUCUCAAAUUCUAGCAAAGUAUCAACUAAUAUAUGCA